GCGCCUCUCCCGUUGCGCGUGUUCCCGGGUCCUCCAGCCACACUUGCAGACCGUCCCCACUGUCCCGAAGCAGUCGCCCCAGCCCGCCCGGCUGAUGACUUCACUUCCCACAAAGCCUAAUAAUUCAGCCCUCCGCUGCCCUCCCCUCUGCUCGCGGCCGUUCGCAGCCACCCCGCCCUCCCCUCCGCGCCCUCGCAGAAGGAAUCCCAACUUCUUGCCCAGACGCACGCCCCCUCCGUGCGCGCUCGAGGACCUGGCGCGUUCCACCCUGCUGUUGUGGAUUCCAGGAAGCAGCUCUGGGCUUCUGUGUAGGACUCACCUCAGCUCAAAGCCGCAUUCUACUAAUUCACUAAAGGAGGGCCGUAGGCAAGUUACUUUGUCUUCUGACAGAGGUCUGUAAUUUUGAUUGGGAGGCAUUGACUCCCCACAGGGCUUCAGCGAGGUUUAAAGGAGUCUGGCACACAGUAGGGGCUGAAUCAGCUGAUGGUUCACUUUCCCUUUUCCCUAGGCCGGAGACAGUUGGAAAUUAAAAAAAGAAACAACUUUAAAAAUAGAGUUUUCCCACCCCACCGUCUCUAUUCCUCAUUGCCAAACUUCUCAGAAGAAGUUGAGAAGUUGUUUUUUUUUAAUUCAUUUUUUUCUAGUGGUUUAUGUUUAUUGCACUUUAUAUAAACUGGUGGGUUGGGGGUGGGGGGGGUCUUGUCCUUCCCCACAGGUGGUUGGAGAAGACAGGGCAAGAGCCCAAAGAGGGACCCUCCUUCGUGCUAGGAAAGCCGUAAUCCCGUCCUGGGCUCUGCUUGGACCCGUCAAAAGCUUGCAUUUCAACCAUCCUCGGCAUUUUUUGCUGACGUGAAUUGGAAAAUCAUAGUGAUAUCCAAAUUUGUGGAAGGCAAAGUAACAUUUCCACAUGAAAGCAAGCGUGUUCGCAUCUUUGCUGGCCAUUUGCAGAUGGAGGUGAUCUCAGCGAUUGCUCAGGAUGAAAUGAAAUGGAUUUUUAUAGGAAGCGGGUGGCUCAAGCGGUUUUGGGUGCCUGCCUAACACAUGGGAGGUCUCAGUGUCUGUUUCUGGUGCCUUUUAAAGAA
rnacentral:lncRNA from 1 species